rnacentral:rRNA from 1 species
CAGCAGUAGCCGCGGUAACACGAAGGGUGCAAGCGUUACUCGGAAUUACUGGGCGUAAAGCGUGCGUAGGUGGUGGUUUAAGUCCGUUGUGAAAGCCCUGGGCUCAACCUGGGAAUUGCAGUGGAUACUGGGUCACUAGAGUGUGGUAGAGGAUAGUGGAAUUUCCGGUGUAGCAGUGAAAUGCGUAGAGAUCGGAAGGAACAUCUGUGGCGAAGGCGACUAUCUGGGCCAACACUGACACUGAGGCACGAAAGCGUGGGGAGCAAACAGGAUUAGAUACCCGUGUAGUCCCUGUCUCUUAUAC